UACAGAGGGUGCGAGCGUUAAUCGGAAUUACUGGGCGUAAAGCGCGCGUAGGCGGCUUUGCAAGUCGGGUGUGAAAUCCCCAGGCUUAACCUGGGAACUGCAUUCGAGACUGCAUUGCUAGAGUAUGGGAGAGGGCAGUGGAAUUUCCGGUGUAGCGGUGAAAUGCGUAGAUAUCUGGAGGAAUACCGGUGGCGAAGGCGGCGUUCUGGACCAUUACUGACACUGAAUCGCGAAAGCUAGGGGAGCAAACGGG
rnacentral:rRNA from 1 species